GUCCUUUUGAUAAUAAUUUAAGGUCUAACCUGCCCACUGAAAAUUUAAAUGGCCGCAGUAUUUUGACUGUGCAAAGGUAGCAUAAUCAUUAGUUUCUUAAUUAGAAGCUUGUAUGAAUGGUUGGACGAGAAAUUUUCUGUCUCAAUUUAUAAAUUAAAAUUUUAUUUUUAAGUUAAAAAGCUUAAAUAGUUUUAAAAGACGAGAAGACCCUAUAGAGUUUAAUAUUUUUAUUAAUUUUUUUUUUAGAAUUUCGGUUUUUAAUAAAUAUAUUUUGUUGGGGUGACAUAUAAAUUAAAAAAACUUUAUAUUUUUAAAUCCAUAAAUUUAUGAUUUUAUGAUCCAUUAUUGAUGAUUAAAAGAAAAAAUUACCUUAGGGAUAACAGCGUUAUUUUUUUUUAGAGUUCUAAUCGAAAAAAAAGUUUGCGACCUCGAUGUUGGAUUAAAAUUAAUUUAUGGUGUAGAAGCUAUAAAAUUAGGUCUGUUCGACCUUUAAAAUUUUACAUGAUCUGAGUUUAAACCGGUGUGAGCCAGGUUGGUUUCUAUCUUUAAAUAAUUUAAAAUAUUUUAGUACGAAAGGACCAAGUAUUUUUAAUAGUUAAUUUAAAUUGAAUA
rnacentral:rRNA from 1 species